GGUGGGUCUGAAUGCAGAGGUGUGUACAUCUAAAUUGAUCCUAAGCAGUUAUGGAUUUCUUUUUUUCUCCUCUACUCUCGCUGCUUCAUUUGACCAGCCUUAA
ensembl:misc_RNA Y_RNA Y RNA